rnacentral:rRNA from 1 species
GCCAGCCCGCUCAGAAACUUAAAGGAAUGGACGGGGGCCCGGCACAAGCGGUGGAGUAUGUGGUUAAUUCGAUGCAACGCGAAGAACCUUACCUGGUCUUGACAUCCCGGAGACCCUUAGGAAACUAGGGGGUGCUUCCAUCUGGAAGAAUCUGGAGACAGGUGCUGCAUGGCUGUCGUCAGCUCGUGUCGUGAGAUGUUGGGUUAAGUCCCGCAACGAGCGCAACCCUUGCCUUUAGUUGCCAGCAGUUCGGCUGGGCACUCUAAAGGGACUGCCGGUGUUAAACCGGAGGAAGGUGGGGAUGACGUCAAGUCCUCAUGGCCUUUAUGACCAGGGCUACACACGUACUACAAUGGCCGAUACAAAGGGCAGCGACACUGCGAGGUGAAGCCAAUCCCGUAAAAUCGGUCUCAGUCCGGAUUGGAGUCUGCAACUCGACCCCAUGAAGUUGGAAUCGCUAGUAAUCGUGGAUCAGCAUGCCACGGUGAAUACGUUCCCGGGCCUU